GUUGUAACCCAAAAACGGACAUGGUAAUUAAUGUGAUUUCUUGUAACCGGCUAUUGGGCAAAAACACUGAACGAAAACAUGUCCAGUAUGAAUGAAGAAUUCAACACACUAAAAAUACUAAAACGGCUACGGACAAACUUGCACCCAUAUGCUUCGAUUCUCUGAAGAAAUGCAGUACGCGCUGCUCGGUUGGAGUAUGAAAGAAUGGUUACCUCUACGGCUACGGAGAUGUGUUACAGUGUGUGGUUAACUAGUGCCCUCCGUACGGCCGUAGGCCCACCAUCCUGAUCAAUAUCGUCGGUACACGCAACUCCUAAAUCUAAAAGGUAAAAAAAAAA
rnacentral:lncRNA from 1 species